rnacentral:lncRNA from 1 species
UUAACAUCUACUCUCUUGAGCAGUGAUAGGAAGACACAAUCUAGGUAAAGAUACUAGCAAGCGCACUAUACGCAUAGUAUAGGGUAUGCUAAAAGGUAAAGAUACUGGCAAGCCCGCAUCUACUCGUGGUAGAGGGUAUGCACAAAAGGUAAAAGGUAAUAGGUAAUAAAAAUCCUAAGUGUAAUACCUAAACUGUACUAUUGACGUGGUCCAAUUCUUUACUCACGACAAGCACAGAGAAGGACAGAUUCUUAGGACUUUAUAAUAAUCAAGAUAAAGAUAAGAUAUACAUUCAAUCAGAUAUAGAUAAGAGAUAAACUCAUCAAGGUAAAGGUACGAGAUAAACUCAAACUAAAGGUAAAGAUAAACUCACUUCAGGUAAAGAUAUGUUAAAACUCAAAUCAUUUAAAAGAUAACAGCAUAGGAGAUGACAACCAAGUUAAACAGACUGACUUACUGCUGAAUAUCAGAACGAUCCAAUUCUACAUGACACAUUCUAAUUUCAACCUAAGAGAUACUCUAGGAACAACUUAUAGAUAUUAAUAUAUUUUUGAGCCAAGUGAAAUGCCCAAGUCCAGGGUGAUCAGUCCUGAACCCACGCUAAACCCUGACACAGUAAGUAAGUGAAUGCAUAAGCUUUAUGGCCAUGGUCCACGAGCUCAUGCAACCGUCAAUCAAAGAAAAUAUUAUAGAAACGGUUUCCUAACUAUCCCUAUAAAUAUCUAUCUAACCCAGAAUUCAAGAUGGGGAAAAUUCCCAUUAUCCAUCCUGCACUCCUAUGAUAUAUAGUUUGGACUUUCAAGAGACAACCAACAGCAAAAUGAACAAGUCCAUAAACUAAGAUAUUAACCAACAUUAAGA